AUUGAACGCUGGCGGCAGGCCUAACACAUGCAAGUCGAACGAUUGGCGGAAGGGUGAGUAAUGUCUGGGCAACUGACUGAUGGAGGGGGAUAACUACUGGAAACGGUAGCUAAUACCGCAUACCAUCAGAUGUGCACAGAUGGGAUUUGAUAGUUGGUGGGGGAAAGGCUUAAAAAGGCGACGAUCCCUAGCUGGUCUGGGAGGAUGACCAGCCACACUGGAACGGAGACACGGUCCAGACUCCACAGUGCGCGAGCUGUGGGGAAUAUUGCCCAAUGGGCGCAAGCCUGAUGCAGCAAUGCCGCGUGUAUGAAGAAGGCCUUCGGGUUGUAAAGUACUUUCAGCGUGGAGGCGUUACCCGCAGAAGAAGCACAGGCUAACUCCGUGCCAGCAGCCGCGGUAAUUC
rnacentral:rRNA from 1 species